CCUGCCACUAGAAGAGUUGCAGGUGUCGCUGUUGUGUCAUAUGUGCAUUAGUAGGUAGCAGAGAGGAGAGAGGCUCUGUCUACACAGAGUGUUAUGACCUGUGAACACCUACAUGAUCAGUAGCGUAACAUU